GGGAUUCAGGACAGAGUGAUGCUGGCACGGUGUGUCUGAUUAGAGUCAAUCAGCAGGAGGGCUCUGGCCUUUGCUGCUGCUAUCAGAUGAGUUCCCCAUUGAAGAGGAAAUCAGAAGAAACUAACAUUCAAAUGAAGGAUGAGAGGCUUCUGUGUGCAGAGGGCUCAAAUGAGCUGUGUUUGUGUUGCGUCACUGCAGUGCCACUUCAAUACAUCACUUCAGGGGGAAACAAGUGUGGUUGGUUUCAUCAUUAUCCACUGUUCCAAGUGUGCCUGAACUUACCCUGGAUUGACGACGCUCUGUGUGUGGGGUUCUUGAGGCAGCAGCCAGUCCCAAAUUGAAUUACAUGCACAUUUCUCAGCCACAAAGGGGAGCCAUCACUAAUUAAAACCAUGUGAUUGAUGACACUGACGCUUCAUGCCAAAGGAGGAUAAAUCACCCUCACAGUCACUUUGCUGCAUUGCUUCCUGUCUCCACACCAUCAGCUACUGAGAACCAGAGCAAGAAUGACAAAAGUUUCAAUUAAGAAAUGAAGACGAGACACACUUGAUGAUCCACUGUAAGUAUUUUACAGACCAACUAGAUACACAGAGAGGUAAUGUGUUCUUUAUUACACGUGCGUAACACUGACAUAUGGUAUAUAUUAAAUGUGGAUUUUUUUAUUGUUUGUAUACCUUUUUAGAAUGUUAUCUGUCAUGUGAUAGUGAGUGCUUGAAAAAGACAGGACAUGCAGAGACAUGUGAACAGAAUGACAUGCAUCUUGGCGGGAUUCGUAGCAAAUAAGAGAAAAAAAUGAUUAAAAUGAACAUUAUAUUCAGUGAAAUAUGUUUUGAAUAUAAUGAAUAAACAAUACUGAUUUUAAACAUGUAAACUUAAAUAUUACAACCAUGAGAACCAUUACGCCAAACCUGCUAAUCUAUUUGAACUCAGCUUUCCACUGCAAUCUGAAAACCAGAAAAUAUAGCACCCACGGGCAUCCUGUCACAUCAUACAAUGUAAUUUUUGUAUUGGUACUUUAACAAGUGAUUAUUUUUGCAUUUAUAUGCAUUUCUUUUAAGAUAAUUUGGGGUUAUUAGUGCCUUUAUUCAGAGGAAAGUACAGUGGAGAGGGUAGG